rnacentral:rRNA from 1 species
CCAAUAGCGUAUAUUAAAGUUGUUGCAGUUAAAAAGCUCGUAGUUGAAUUUCGGGAUUGACCCAUCGGUCGUGCCUUAAGGGGUAUGAACUGGUGUAGUCAAUUUCUCACCUUCUGGAGAACCGUGAUGUCCUUAAUUGGGUGCCACGAGGAACCAGGACCUUUACUUUGAAAAAAUUAGAGUGUUUAAAGCAGGCAUUUUUGCUUGAAUACAUUAGCAUGGAAUAAUAAAAUAGGACGGCAUGAUUCUAUUUUGUUGGUUUCUAGGAUCACCGUAAUGAUUAAUAGGGAUAGUUGGGGGCAUUAGUAUUCAAUUGUCAGAGGUGAAAUUCUUGGAUUUAUUGAAGACUAACUACUGCGAAAGCAUUUGCCAAGGAUGUUUUCAUUAAUCAAGAACGAAAGUUAGGGGAUCGAAGACGAUCAGAUACCGUCGUAGUCUUAACCAUAAACUAUGCCGACUAGGAAUCAGACGAUGUUAAUUUUUUAAUGACUCGUUUGGCACCUUAC